rnacentral:lncRNA from 1 species
ACAGGUGCUUCAGCUCAUUCACAGCAUAGAUAGGAGUUAGGUCAUACAGCUAUUGUUGGUGAGCUCCAGUUUGCUUCGGAGCUUUCCGAGUCGGUCCCUUAUGUUUUGUUAUUGUACAGGAGUCAUGUGUGGGCGGGGGUUUGUCCCGACCCUAGUUAUGUCAUGUAUAUCCUAGAGGCUUUGUAGACAUAAGGAAGGGUAAAGUCAUGGAAGUUUAUAUAGUGAUGUUAUAUUUGUAUAUGUG